UACAGAGGGUGCGAACGUUGUUCGGAAUUACUGGGCAUAAAGAGCACGUAGGCGGCACCGCAAGUGUGGGGUGAAAUCCCACGGCUUACCCGUGGAACUGCCUGGCAGACUGCGGUGCUAGAGGUUGGUAGGGGAGAGCGGAACUCUUGGUGGAGCGGUGAAAUGCGUAGAUAUCAGGAAGAACACCCGUGGCGAAGGCGGCUCUCUGGGACGGUACUGACGCUGAGACGCGAAAGCGUGGGGAGCAAACAGG
rnacentral:rRNA from 1 species